rnacentral:lncRNA from 1 species
CGGAAGUUUUCAUACUGCUUGGUGGACAGGUCAGCCUCGUCUAAACCGUCCUCCGUUGUGUUCGGACAGUCCGCCGUUUCGCGAACCGCUGUCUUCACUCCUUUAAUCACAAACCCUAAACUCGACACCUUCUACUACCUCGAACUCACCGGAAUCAGUGUCGGCGGCGCCAGAGUUGCGGGCAUCACCGCCUCUCUCUUCAAGCUAGACACCGCCGGAAACGGCGGGGUCAUCAUCGACUCCGGCACCUCCGUCACCCGCCUCACCCGGCGAGCUUACGUAAGCCUCCGCGACGCCUUCCGGGCCGGAGCAGCGGACUUGAAACGGGCGCCAGACUACUCACUCUUCGAUAC